rnacentral:rRNA from 1 species
AGAGUUUGAUCAUGGCUCAGGACGAACGCUAGCGGCGCGCUUAACACAUGCAAGUCGAGCGGAAAGGCCCCUUCGGGGUACUCGAGCGGCGAACGGGUGAGUAACACGUGAGCAACCUACCCUUGGCUUUGGGAUAACCCCGGGAAACCGGGGCUAAUACCGAAUAUCCACGUGCUGUCGCAUGACGGUGCGUGAAAAGU